CCGGGCUGCGCCCCUUGCCCCCGCCCCUCGCCCCCGCCCCUCCCGGCUGCGCGCACGUGAGCGUGCACUACGCUGGUUUCUAAAUUUAGUUCCGGCGGCUUCCCUGGGGUCGCCUGAGUACAGGGAAUUGAGCCUGGGACCUCGUGCACAUUGGGUAGGUGCUCUAUCACUGGAACUAUACUCCCAGCCCAGCUGAGGAAUUGAACCCAACUCUAGCCACAAUUGAACCCAACUCUAGCCACAAUCUUGGUGGAUACUACAACUUAAAAAGAAUAUAAGGGCCAAAAGCUCCUGGCCAAUGACCUGCCUUCAAGUGGAGGUCUGAAGUCCCCUUCCUGGAUGGACAUUCCCAUAGUAACAGCAGAGAGGAAUAGUACACACGAUGUGGACACCACACCUACAGACCUCUGUAUGGGUCACACCCAUAUAUCAGAUUGUGCAUUCCUGGCAAGACUGAAUGUGAGUGCCACAGCGGGGAAGCUGUGAUCUUCGACCCUGACUCUCCCCAUGAAAUGGAGGAACUUCAGGCCCUUCACCAUAACUGGAGUAAUCAACCUCAGAAUUGCUUUUGUGUAAUAGAGCCAAUAUCAACAGUGCCUAUAGAAACUUCCACCACCUAGUAGGGGUUUCCAGAGGGUGUACCUCCAUGUCUCCACUUACUCUGCUGCCUACACUAAACAUGCCUGAAUUAUGAGAGGGUUCCCACUCUUGUGAGACUUGCCCAGAUAGUAGAUACCUCAGACUUCAGUAUGGCAUGCACUGUGUCCAGACCCACUAAUCAUAGCCCAAGAAGCCACAGAGAGAUUGCAUUAUUGAAUUGGAGGUAAACUCAACAUUAUACAAUAAUUUGACACCACAGGGCAUAUCAAUUGGAAGCCACUAAGAAGAACAUCACAUAAAAGUGGAAGAGAGUCCAAUUCAAUAGAUUGGUAAAUCUCAACCUAGAAACAUGAAAUAUGAUGCAACGUAAUAGAACACCUCCAAAAGUUCAUAACUCUUUAGUAACUGAUUCCAAAGAUAUCAAAGUGGAUGAAAUGCCACACAAAGAAUCUUUCAGGAGAACAAUGUUAAAAGCAGUAUGUGAUAAAAGGAUAAACAGCUGGAUGAAUUAACAAAACAAUUCAAGAAAGAUCUGAAAAGUUCAAUGUCAGAAAAUUCACUUGGAAGUCUCACUAUUAGAAUGGAUAAAAUAGAAGAAAGAAUAACAUAUAAAGAUGAAACUUUUGAAAUAUUAGUAGAGAAAGAAAAUUGAGUAGGUAUGACGUUGCCAUACAAGAGAUUUGGGACAACAUCACAAGACAAAAUAUCUGGCUCAUUGGCAUACCCGAGAGAGAAGAGCUACAGGUUGGGGGCAUUAAACAAAACCUAUUUAAUGAGCUGGGCGCCUUGGCGCAUGCCUGUAAUCGCAGCAACUCGGGAGGCUGAGACAGGAGGAUCAUGAGUUCAAAGCCAACCUCAGCAAAAGCAAGGCGGUAAGCAACUCACUGAGACCCUGUCCCUAAGUAAAAUACAAAAUAGGGCUGGGGAUGUGACUUAGUGGCCAAAUGCCCCUGAGUUCAAUCCCCAGUAUCCAAGGGGGGAAAAAAAAAACCUAUUUCCCAGAUCUUGCAAAAGACAUGGGCAUCUAUAUACACGAUGCAUAUAGAACCCCAAAGAGAUAUGUUGUGAAAGGAACUUUUCCAUGAUACAUUGUAGUUAAAUUGUCAAACAUACUUCAUCAAGAAAACAAUAUUAAACGUGGCAAGAGAGAAGUGUCAAGGUACAUUUAAAGGCAGACGCAUUAGACUAACUGAAUAUUUCUCAGAAGGAACUCUAUUAAAGGACAGGAGGGCAUGGAUCCAUGUAUUUGAAGUCACGAAAGACAAAAAAAAAAUGAGCCAGCCAAGAGUACUGUGUUCACCAAGGCUAUCUUUUAGAAUUGACAGAGAAGUAAAGACCUUCCAAGAUAACCAUGAAGAAAGGGAAUUCUUGACUACUGGACCAAAUUACAAAACAUAAUUAAGGCAAGCCCACAAGAAGAGGAAGAAAAAUUAUAGGAACAUGUAAAAGAAUAAGUCUAACUAGAAGAGAAUAGAUAUGCAAAUGAGAAAUAAGAAAGCAUCAAACAUUAUCGUCAUUAACCAUUAAGUGUGUAAGAUGAAUGAGAUGAAAGAAUGAACAGAAUAUUUAAAACAACCAGAAGAUAAACAAACACUAUUAGAGAUAGAUUCCAAAACAGUAAUAAUGGGUGACUUCAGUACCCUACUCUCAUCAAUGGAUGGGUCAUCCAGGAAAAAAAAUCAAAGAAAUAUCAGUUAGAUUAUAUUUCUGAUUAAAUGGACAUUGUAGACAUCUAUAGAAUAUUCUACCCAACAGCUGCAGGAUGCAUAGUUAUUUUCAUCAAUGUAUGAGUCUUUCUCAAAUAGACCAUAUAUUAAGUCACAAAACUAGUCUUAACCAAUUCAAAACAAUUGAAUUAGUGAUGUAGCUGAAUACAAAAUCAACUUAGGAAAAUCAGAUUUUCUGAACAUUAAUGAGCUCAUUGAGAAAUUAGGAAAAUAAUCUUACUACAGACAAAACAAACCUGGAAAGAAACUGAAGAAGCCAUUACAAGGUGGAAAGACAGACCCUCCCCCAUGUUUGUGUACUGGGAGAAUUGGUGUUAAAUGGCCACACUAGUCAACCUUUGGUGUGGCCCUUUUCUUUCUUUUUUUCUGGGGCAGGGGAGCCUGGGGAUUGAACUUAGGGGCACUCAACCACUGAGCCACAUCCACAGCCCUAUUUUGUAUUUUCUUUAGAGACAGGGUCUCAUGAAUUACUUAGUGUCUCAUUUUUGCUGAGGCUGGCAUUAAACUCUCAGUCCUCCUGUUUUAGCCUCCCAAACAACUGGUAUUACAGGCAUGAACCACUGUGCCUGGCUGCACUUAUGGUUUUCUAUGUGUAGAAUCAUCAACAAACAAGGAUAAUUUGACUUCCUUAAUUUUUUAACAAUUUUUUUCCUUUAGUUGUCAAUUGACCUUUAUUUAUAUGCGAUGCUGAGAAUCAAACCCAGUGCUUUACACAUGCUUGUAAGCACUCUACCACAGAGCCACAAUCCUAGCCCUUCCUUUAUUAUUUGUAUUUUUUUUAAAGUAUUUUUAGUUGUCAAUAGACACAAUAUCUUUAUUUUUUUAUGUGGUGCUGAGGAUCAAACAUGCUUCACAUGUGCUAGGUAAGCACUCUACCACUGAGCUACAACCCCAGUCCUAUUUGUAUGUUUUUAUUUCUUGCCUAAUUGCUCUGGCUAAAUGUUAAGUACUGCUUUUAAUAAGAGUGCUGAGUAAGCAACUAUGUCUCAUUCUCGAAUUUAGAGGAAAUUAUUUCAGUAUUUUCCAAUUCAAUGUUUUCAUAUAUAUUUAUUUUGUCAUAUAUAGCCUUUGCCCUGUCUCAGGAAACUACUGAAGGUGAGUACUCAUUCAAAAUGAGAAUAAGCCAAGAUAACUUGUAACUUUGAAGACUGAAAUGAAAUGUAGUUUAAGUGAAAGAAAAAGGCAAGAGAAUGGAAACUAUAAGUAAAGAGGAAAGGAAAUGCAUACUCUGAGUUUAGAUAGGUUGGAGAAUUGGAUAAUAUCCUGUUUCUUAACAUCCUCAGUAAAGGGAUUAAUAGAUAUAGUUGUAAAUUAUACAGUAUCAAAGCAAUGGUUUCCUGAAAGACCUUUUGAAAAUGUUAUGAAAAGGAUCCUUUGCAAUAGAUACAUGUUUCAAUUGAAGAUUUCUUACAGUCUUCUUCUGUUACUAUAACAAAAUGUCUGAGAUAAUAAACUUCUAUUUUUGGCUUACAGUUGUAAUGCUCCUGGUUGGUUUGCUCAACAAACACAUCAUGGUGGCGAACAUAUGACAGCAGAGAUGGGCUACAGUCUCCAGCUGUGAGACCUAGACUAAGGGCUGGGUUCCCGUUUUGCUCAUGUAAAACGAGGCUCCAUGAUAAAAUUGAAGAUUACUUCCAAUUUGUAGUUCUAUGCUUUUUAGUGGUGUUUAAUAACAGUAUUAAAAUUGACAAAAUUUAAGCCUUAAGCCUUGUUUUUUAAUGCAAGGAAACAUGAUAAAAUGUUAAGUAACAAAAACAACACACAUGUACACAUUGUAUUUAAAAGAUGGUCUCUCAACUUUAUUUUUUAAAAAAAAGUGAAAAUGAAAAGAUACCCAUAAUGGGACUCUAUGAGCUUAUUGAUAACUCCCCUGCCCUUCCAGUUUUCCUUAAUUUAUUAUUUUGCCUUUCACCUAUUUGGUUGUAGAAAAAUUUAAAGAAAAAGAAUAUCUAUGAUAAUCCAUAAACAUGACCAAAUUAAAGUUAUGUUAAUUUUAUCAUAUGUUGAUGGCAUCAUGUGGUCACUGUAUGAGGCAAAUCUUUUGGUGAGGGAGGGGUGGUGCUGGAGAUUGAAUUUGGGCAGUCAACUCCUGAGCCACAUCCCAACCCUAUUUUGUGUAUUUUAUUUAGAGACAGGGUCUCACUGAGUUGCUUAGUGUCUGGCUGUUGCUGAGGCUGGCUUAGAACUCAUGAGCCUCUUGACUCUGCUUCCUUAGCUACUAGGAUUACCGGUGUGCACUGCUGCAUCCAGCUGAGGCAAAGCUUUUUUAAGUUUUCUGUAUUACUAUAAGCCAUCGUCAUUUUUUUCCUUAUGCAUGACAAUAGAAUGUAUUAUUUUGACAUACAUUUAUGGAUGUUAUGGUUUUUGAGGUGUACCCCAAAAGCUCAUGUGUGGGCAAUGCAAGAAGGUUCAGAGAAGAAAUGAUUGGGUUAUGAGAGCCUUGACCCAACAGUGAAUUAAUCACCAAUGGGGCACCCUUCAUGCACUAGGAAGUUUAUUCAGAAGUGUUCAGGCUGCUGCAGCCAGGGUCCCUGGGGCCAUGGCUACCGCUCCAGAUGGCAGCAGACCAUGGUGUCAAACAUGUGGUGCUGGUUCUGCAGGAAAGCAGGAUGCUGGAGUUAGUGGGUUAUGGAGGCUUCCACCAAGAUUUCAAAGGAUGGCCUGGAAAGCCAGGCAAAGUGCAGCAGGGUUGGAGUCUCUGUGGGCAGCCCCCAAGAGGGUUAGGCAUGGAGAUGUGUGGAGGAAGCCAAAGCUCUGAUGGAGACCCCUGAAGAUUAAGAAAUGCCAGUAACGUGGAGCAUCAUCCUAGGAAAGCUGCAGGAUCAAGAAGACAAUCAGGCCAUUUGGGCUGCAACCAACAAAGCCAGAGGGGUAAUCUAUACAAGUUCUUUGGAGAGGACAUCAUAUCAUAUGCUCCAGAUGCCAGACAGAACUAUAGGACUUGUUUGACCAGCUGGAUUUCAGCCUGGCUUUGGUCCCUUCCUUUCUCUCUAUGCCUCUGUUUUUCUAAAUGUUUUCGAAGGCCUCUGUUUUUCUAAAUGUUUUCUAAGUGUUUAGUUUGUACCUUUAUGUUUUCUAAGUGUUUAUUUUGUACCUUUAUAUAUUGGAAACUUGUAAAUAGCUUGAUUUUUACAGGAACUCAUGAUGCAAGUUUGCCUUGAGUCUGAAAGGAAACUUUGGACUUGAACUCUGAGCAGUCUUGGAACUGCUGAGACUGUGGGGACUCUUGGGGAUAGACUAAAUGUAUUUUGCUUUGUCAGAUGAGUGUGAGCUUUUGGGGACGGGGUGGAAUGUUAUAGUUUGGAUGUGAGGUGUACCCCAAAAGCUCAUGCGAGACACUUCUAAAAGGUUUAGAGAGGAAAUGAUUAGGUUGUGAGAAUCUUAACCCAAUCAGUGAAUUAAUCACCUGAUGGGAUUGAGUGGUAACUGAAGGCAGGUGGGUGUGGCAAGAUGAAGUAGUGGGGGUCUCUCUCUGCUUCCUCCUGAUCAUGUGAGCUGCCUCCCUCCUCCACACUCUUCUUCCAUGAUGUUCAGCUUCACCUGUAGUCCUGAGGAAUGGAGCUGUCUGCAUAUGGACUAAGAACUCAAACUGGAGCCCUCAAAUAAACCUUUCCUCCUCCACAAUUAUUCUGUUUGGGUCUUUUAGUCACAGCAGUAAAAAAAGCUGACUAAAACAAUAGAGUAUAACUUUGCCUUCUUUUAGAAAAGAGUCCCCACAGUCUCAACAGUUCCAAGAUUGCUCAAAGUUCAAGUCCAAAGUCUCCUCUGAGACUCAGGGCAAACUUGCAUCCUGAGUGCCUAUAAAAAUCAAUUCUUUAAAGAAUCAGCAUAAAUCCAAAAGACUUCUAUUAAGGGGAGGAAGGAAACAUUAAAAGAACAACCUGGAUCGGGUACUAAUUAUUUUACAUGGUUAUCUCACAUAGAUAUUAAAGAACUUUUAGGAGAUUAUCCUAUUCUGUUUGACAAAGAUCUUCAAGAUAAAUGACUUUUUCUUUUCUCUAAAAGUUUACAUACCUUGGCUGGAUGUGGUGUUGCACACUUGUAUUCCUAGCAUUCCAGAGGAUAGGUCAGGAGUAUCAGAAAAGUGCAAGGCCAACAUUAACAACUUAGCAAGAUCUUGUCUAUAAAUUUAAAAAGGGAGCAGUGGAUGUGAAGUGCCCUUAGGAUCAAUCCCUAGUACCAAAACAAAUAAAAGGUGACAUUCAGAUGAAUAUGUAUGUCAUGAUCC